UUUUAUAUCAUCAUUGAUUAAUCGAUCCAAUUCAAAGUUCAAACUAAGAAUUCCAGUCUAUCUCUCAUUUUCCUUUGUAUCUCCAACUCUUCUCUUGUUAUAUAACCAAACAACGAUAACUUUCUUCUUUGCUUUUUCACUUAGUUAGUAUCCUACUCUGAGGUUGCUCAAUAUAGUAACAUAAAUAAUGGAGUUGUAGCUUAACCAUGUUCAAGUAUCAUGCACAAAACACCAGAACUAUCCCGAAAUACCUAAAUAUUUAGCAAAUACUAUAAAAGCAGACUAAAAUUUAAAAAUGAAAUCGUUAAUCAAAUUAAAUAAGCAAAUUUUAGUUUAACUGACCUCUGACUUGGAUCAUCAUCGGCGGAUUGAUGUACGGCCCGAGAACGACCCAUUUCCUAAUUGGGGCUCCGGAUUUGAAAAAAAGAGCUCCAAUUGACUUGCUUGUAGAACUAACAGUGAAGAUCUGGUAUCUCACAAGUCCGGCUAUCGGAAAAAUAAGUGCGAUUUGGGGAAUAAAGUAUGUCGAUGUACACUAAAAGUUUAAAAUUAAAUUCAAAUAUUUAAACUAAAAGUAUUGGAGUAAUACUUAUUUAAUGUUUAUAUA
rnacentral:lncRNA from 1 species